UUUUUGUGAAUAAUUUAAAGUNUAAUCUGCCCACUGAAUAAAAAUUUAAAGGGCUGCAGUAUAUUGACUGUACAAAGGUAGCAUAGUCAUUAGUCUUUUAAUUGGAGACUUGUAUGAAUGAUUUGAUGAAAUAUAAACUGUCUCUUUAUUAAUAAUAGAAUUUAAUUUUUUAGUCAAAAAGCUAAAAUUUAUAUAAAAGACGAGAAGACCCUAUAGAGUUUAAUUUUUUAAUUUUUAUGAAUAUUAUAUAAAAAUUAUAAUUUAUAAAAAUUAAAAAAUUUUGUUGGGGUGAUAGAAAAAUUUAAAAAACUUUUUUUUAAAAAUUAACAUUAAUUUAUGAAUAUUUGAUCUAUAAUUUAUGAUUAAAAGAUUAAAUUACCUUAGGGAUAACAGCGUAAUUUUUUUUUUUAGUUCAAAUAAAAAAAAAAGUUUGCGACCUCGAUGUUGGAUUAAGAUAAAAUUUAAAUGCAAAAGUUUAAAAUUUUGAUCUGUUCGAUCAUUAAAAUCUUACAUGAUCUGAGC
rnacentral:rRNA from 1 species